CGUAGGGUGCGAGCGUUAAUCGGAAUUACUGGGCGUAAAGCGUGCGCAGGCGGUUUUGUAAGCCAGAUGUGAAAUCCCCGGGCUCAACCUGGGAAUGGCAUUUGGGGCUGCAAGGCUUGAGUGCGGCAGAGGAGACUGGAAUUCCUGGUGUAGCAGUGAAAUGCGUAGAUAUCAGGAGGAAUACCGAUGGCGAAGGCAGGUCUCUGGGCUGACACUGACGCUCAUGCACGAAAGCGUGGGGAGCAAACAGGAUUAGAUACCCUGGUAGUCCACGCCCUAAACGAUGUCGACUGGUUGUUGGGGGUUUGACACUCUCAGUAACGAAGCUAACGCGUGAAGUCGACCGCCUGGGGAGUACGGCCGCAAGGUUA
rnacentral:rRNA from 1 species